GUUGAUUAGGGAUGCAUUUAUGAACUAAGAUUAUUUGUAAUUAUCUGUUGUUUUUGGCUAAAAAAUUUAUUAAUAUUGAAUUAUUUGUACUAUACUCUAUAGGUAGUCGUAUGCGGCCGAGUAAAAUUAAGGUUUAAUUUCACGCAUGUUUUCAAAGUUUCACAACGCGACGAGGGCAAUUCGUGAAACUUUGAAAACACAACUGAAAUUAAACCUUAAUUUUUUCGAGGAACUAUGCGUUAAUCAUAGAGGGC